GGUGGGAUCAAAGCUUACUGGGCAUUUCUGGAGAAGAAAAUGGGCUUGUGAUAUCCAAAUCUCUGCUGGUUUUAUGAUAUUCUUCUCUAUGCUAGGAAAAUUUGGAGCUUUGUUUGCAUCAAUACCCUUCACUAUAUUUGCUGCUGUGUAUUGUGUUUUGUUUGGUCUUGUUGCUUCGGUGGGGCUGUCAUUUCUGCAAUUCACAAACAUGAACUCGAUGAGGAACCUCUUUCUUCUUCCUGGGUUUGGCUAUUCCCGAGUAUUUUAGGGAAUACACUGCCAAAGCUCUUCAUGGUCCUGCACAUACCAGUGCUGGAUGGUUCAACGAUUUCCUCAAUACAAUCUUCUUUUCAUCCCCGACUGUUGCAAUGAUUGUUGCAAAAUAUU